CAGUGGUGGAAUAUUGGACAAUGGGCGCAAGCCUGAUCAGCCAUGCCGCGUGAGUGAUGAAGGCCUUCGGGUUGUAAAGCUCUUUGUUCCGGGAUGAAAAUGUCUGUACCGGGAGAAUAAGCCCCGGCCCGCUCCGUGCCAGCACCCGCUGGUAAUU
rnacentral:rRNA from 1 species